rnacentral:rRNA from 1 species
UACGUAGGGGGCAAGCGUUGUCCGGAUUUAUUGGGCGUAAAGAGCUCGUAGGCGGUUUGUCGCGUCGGCUGUGAAAACUCGGGGCUCAACCCCGAGCCUGCAGUCGAUACGGGCAAACUAGAGUGUGGUAGGGGAGACUGGAAUUCCUGGUGUAGCGGUGAAAUGCGCAGAUAUCAGGAGGAACACCGGCGGCGAAGGCGGGUCUCUGGGCCAUAACUGCCGCUGAGGAGCGAAAGCGUGGGGAGCGAACAGG